CACGUAGGGUGCGAGCGUUGUCCGGAAUUAUUGGGCUUAAAGAGCUCGUAGGUGGUGUGUCGCGUCGGCCGUGAAAACCUGCAGCUUAACUGUGGGCUUGCGGUCGAUACGGGCAUCACUGGAGUUCGGCAGGGGAGACUGGAAUUCCUGGUGUAGCGGUGAAAUGCGCAGAUAUCAGGAGGAACACCGGUGGCGAAGGCGGGUCUCUGGGCCGAUACUGACGCUGAGGAGCGAAAGCGUGGGGAGCGAACAGG
rnacentral:rRNA from 1 species